UCCCGUUUCGCUUCUGGUUCAUGGACUGAGGGCUGCUGUGAUUUUGGCUUUGCAGGACGAUUGCGGCAACUGUAGUUAUCUCCGUGGCUGCAGAUAUUGUGGCUUUGACUUAUUGUUGGUGGCGGCGUGUGUCUCGCAUCUGCAUAUGCGACUACAUUCAGUCAAUAUAAUGCUGUGUAUGGGCGGAUGACGACUGUAUAUGCUGAGUUAUUUUCCUUGCGUAUCCUGAGCUCCACCGGCUGAGUGAUUAAACCGAAACUAUACUUCGCAUUGCAUCUAUGGAGUAUUAUCUUCACUUCUACUGACUCCCGGGUCCCUGUGCCUGUUAUCUGAGUGAUAGGGGCACGCAGUGACGUCACCGCUGUCUUGUUCCUGGUUGAACAUUCAUGAAUUUCGUGUUAAU